UACGGAGGGGGCUAGCGUUGCUCGGAAUCACUGGGCGUAAAGGGUGCGUAGGCGGGUCUUUAAGUCAGGGGUGAAAUCCUGGAGCUCAACUCCAGAACUGCCUUUGAUACUGAGGAUCUUGAGGUCGGGAGAGGUGAGUGGAACUGCGAGUGUAGAGGUGAAAUUCGUAGAUAUUCGCAAGAACACCAGUGGCGAAGGCGGCUCACUGGCCCGAUACUGACGCUGAGGCACGAAAGCGUGGGGAGCAAACAGG
rnacentral:rRNA from 1 species